rnacentral:rRNA from 1 species
UAACACAUGCAAGUCGCACGAGGACGCCCGGGCCUAGCCUGGGCAAGUACAGUGGCGGACGGGUGCGUAACGCGUAGAUAACCUGCCCUCAGGCGCGGGACAAUCGCGGGAAACCGCGGCUAAUACCGCACGACGUCCGGAUCCCGCAUGGGAGCCGGAUGAAACCUUGGGUUCGCCCAGGGGCCUUUGGAUGGGUCUGCGUCGGAUUAGCUUGUUGGUGAGGUAACGGCUCACCAAGGUAGCGAUCCGUAGCUGGUCUGAGAGGACGAUCAGUCACACUGGGACUGAGACACGGCCCAGACUCCUACGGGAGGCAGCAGUGGGGAAUCUUGCACAAUGGGGUCACCCCUGAUGCAGCCAUGCCGCGUGGAGGAAGACACCCCUAUGGGGCGUAAACUCCUUUUCUGAGAGAAGAAGCCCCUGUAGGUUCAGGGCGUGACGGUAUCUCAGGAAUAAGCACCGGCUAACUCCGUGCCAGCAGCCGCGGUAAUACGGAGGGUGCAAGCGUUGUCCGGAAUCACUGGGCGUAAAGGGUGCGCAGGCGGGGCAGCAAGUCGGAGGUGAAAGCCCGUGGCUCAACCACGGAAGUGCCUUCGAAACUGUUGCUCUUGAGUCCCGGAGAGGUUGCCGGAAUUCGUGGUGUAGCGGUGAAAUGCGUAGAUAUCACGAGGAACACCAGAGGCGAAAGCGGGCAACUGGACGGGUACUGACGCUCAGGCACGAAAGCGCGGGGAGCAAACAGGAUUAGAUACCCUGGUAGUCCGCGCCGUAAACGAUGAAUGCUCGCCGUUAUCCCGCUUAAGGGAUAGUGGCUAAGCUAACGCGUUAAGCAUUCCGCCUGGGGAGUAUGGUCGCAAGGC